rnacentral:tRNA from 1 species
GUGCCCAUAGUUUAGUGGUAAAACUCCAGUUUGUGGAACUGGUAUCGAGAGUCCGAUUCUCUCUGGGCACCCA